rnacentral:rRNA from 1 species
GACGAACGCUGGCGGCGUGCUUAACACAUGCAAGUCGAACGAUGAAGCCGGAGCUUGCUCCGGUGGAUUAGUGGCGAACGGGUGAGUAACACGUGAGCAAUCUGCCCUUGACUCUGGAAUAACUGCGGGAAACUGUAGCUAAUACCGGAUACGACACCUUGGGGCAUCCCAGGGUGUGGAAAGAAUUUCGGUCAAGGAUGAGCUCGCGGCCUAUCAGCUAGUUGGUAAAGUAAUGGCUAACCAAGGCGACGACGGGUAGCCGGCCUGAGAGGGCGACCGGCCACACUGGAACUGAGACACAGUCCAGACUCCUACGGGAGGCAGCAGUCGGGAAUAUUGCACAAUGGGCGAAAGCCUGAUGCAGCAACGCCGCGUAAGGGAUGAAGGCCUUCUGUUUGUAAACCUCUUUUAGCAGGGAAGAAGCGAAAGUGACGGUACCUGCAGAAAAAGCACCGGCUAACUACGUGGCAGCCGCCGCCGUAA